rnacentral:tRNA from 1 species
GGGUCGUUAGCUCAAUUGGUAGAGCAGUUGCCUCUUAAGCAAUUGGUUAGAGGUUCAAGUCCUCUACGACCCA